rnacentral:rRNA from 1 species
AUUGAACGCUGGCGGCAGGCCUAACACAUGCAAGUCGAGCGAGCGGCGGACGGGUGAGUAAUGUAUGGGGACUGCCCGAUAUAGGGGGAUAACUACUGGAACCGGUGGCUAAUCCCGCAUACUAUCGCAUGACCCAUAUGGGAUUAGCUAGUAGGUGGGGUAAAGGCUCACCUAGGCGACGAUCUCUAGCUGGUCCGAGAGGAUGAUCAGCUACACUGGGACUGAGACAGGGCCCAGACCCCUACGGAGGCAGCAGUGGGGAAUAUUGCAAAAUGGGCGCAAGCCGGAUGCAGCCAUGCCGCGUGUAUGAAGAAGGCCUGAGGGUUGUAAAGUACGUUCAGAGGGGAGGCGUUACCCGCAGAAGAAGCAACGGCUAACUCCGUGCCAGCAGCCGCGGUAAUAC